rnacentral:rRNA from 1 species
UUAAGCGACUAAGCGUACACGGUGGAUGCCCUGGCAGUCAGAGGCGAUGAAGGACGUGCUAAUCUGCGAAAAGCGUCGGUAAGGUGAUAUGAACCGUUAUAGCCGGCGAUGUCCGAAUGGGGAAACCCAGUGCAAUUCGUUGCACUAUCGUUAACUGAAUACAUAGGUUAACGAGGCGAACCGGGGGAACUGAAACAUCUAAGUACCCCGAGGAAAAGAAAUCAACCGAGAUUCCCCCAGUAGCGGCGAGCGAACGGGGAGCAGCCCAGAGUCUGAAUCAGCUUGUGUGUUAGUGGAACGGUCUGGAAAGUCCGACGGUACAGGGUGAUAGUCCCGUACACCAAAAUGCACAGGUUGUGAACUCGAAGAGUAGGGCGGGACACGUGGUAUCCUGUCUGAAUAUGGGGGGACCAUCCUCCAAGGCUAAAUACUCCUGACUGACCGAUAGUGAACCAGUACCGUGAGGGAAAGGCGAAAAGAACCCCGGCGAGGGGAGUGAAAAAGAACCUGAAACCGUGUACGUACAAGCAGUGGGAGCACCUUCGGGUGUGACUGCGUACCUUUUGUAUAAUGGGUCAGCGACUUAUAUUCUGUAGCAAGGUUAACCGUAUAGGGGAGCCGCAGGGAAACCGAGUCUUAACUGGGCGUUAAGUUGCAGGGUAUAGACCCGAAACCCGGUGAUCUAGCCAUGGGCAGGUUGAAGGUUGGGUAACACUAACUGGAGGACCGAACCGACUAAUGUUGAAAAAUUAGCGGAUGACUUGUGGCUGGGGGUGAAAGGCCAAUCAAACCGGGAGAUAGCUGGUUCUCCCCGAAAGCUAUUUAGGUAGCGCCUCGUGAAUUCAUCUUCGGGGGUAGAGCACUGUUUCGGCUAGGGGGUCAUCCCGACUUACCAACCCGAUGCAAACUACGAAUACCGAAGAAUGUUAUCACGGGAGACACACGGCGGGUGCUAACGUCCGUCGUGAAGAGGGAAACAACCCAGACCGCCAGCUAAGGUCCCAAAGUCAUGGUUAAGUGGGAAACGAUGUGGGAAGGCACAGACAGCCAGGAUGUUGGCUUAGAAGCAGCCAUCAUUUAAAGAAAGCGUAAUAGCUCACUGGUCGAGUCGGCCUGCGCGGAAGAUGUAACGGGGCUAAACCAUGCACCGAAGCUGCGGCAGCGACACUAUGUGUUGUUGGGUAGGGGAGCGUUCUGUAAGCCUGCGAAGGUGGCCUGUGAGGGUUGCUGGAGGUAUCAGAAGUGCGAAUGCUGACAUAAGUAACGAUAAAGCGGGUGAAAAGCCCGCUCGCCGGAAGACCAAGGGUUCCUGUCCAACGUUAAUCGGGGCAGGGUGAGUCGACCCCUAAGGCGAGGCCGAAAGGCGUAGUCGAUGGGAAACAGGUUAAUAUUCCUGUACUUGGUGUUACUGCGAAGGGGGGACGGAGAAGGCUAUGUUAGCCGGGCGACGGUUGUCCCGGUUUAAGCAUGUAGGCGGAGGUUCCAGGUAAAUCCGGUACCUUUUAACGCUGAGGUGUGAUGACGAGGCACUACGGUGCUGAAGUAACAAAUGCCCUGCUUCCAGGAAAAGCCUCUAAGCAUCAGGUAACAUUAAAUCGUACCCCAAACCGACACAGGUGGUCAGGUAGAGAAUACCAAGGCGCUUGAGAGAACUCGGGUGAAGGAACUAGGCAAAAUGGUGCCGUAACUUCGGGAGAAGGCACGCUGGUGUGUAGGUGAAGUCCCUGCGGACGGAGCUGAGACCAGUCGAAGAUACCAGCUGGCUGCAACUGUUUAUUAAAAACACAGCACUGUGCAAACACGAAAGUGGACGUAUACGGUGUGACGCCUGCCCGGUGCCGGAAGGUUAAUUGAUGGGGUUAUCCGUAAGGAGAAGCUCUUGAUCGAAGCCCCGGUAAACGGCGGCCGUAACUAUAACGGUCCUAAGGUAGCGAAAUUCCUUGUCGGGUAAGUUCCGACCUGCACGAAUGGCGUAACGAUCUCCACACUGUCUCGGCCAGAGACUCGGUGAAAUUGAAGUCGCGGUGAAAAUGCCGUGUACCCGCAGAAAGACGGAAAGACCCUGUGCACCUUUACUAUAGCUUGACAUUGGGAUUUGAGCCUGCAUGUGUAGCAUAGGUGGGAGGCUGUGAACUCUGUACGCCAGUAUGGAGGGAGCCAACGUUGAAAUACCACCCUUGUUUGUUCAGGUCCCUAACUCUUCGCCGUUACCCGGUAAGAGGACAGUGUCUGGUGGGUAGUUUGACUGGGGCGGUCGCCUCCCAAAAUGUAACGGAGGCAUGCAAAGGUUCCCUCAGGCUGAUUGGAAACCAGCCGUCGAGUGCAAACGCAAAAGGGAGCUUGACUGCAAGAGAGACAUCUCGAGCAGGUACGAAAGUAGGUGUUAGUGAUCCGGUGAUCCCGAAUGGAAGGGUCAUCGCUCAUUGGAUAAAAGGUACGCCGGGGAUAACAGGCUGAUCGCAUCCAAGAGUUCACAUCGACGAUGCGGUUUGGCACCUCGAUGUCGGCUCAUCACAUCCUGGGGCUGAAGCAGGUCCCAAGGGUACGGCUGUUCGCCGUUUAAAGUGGUACGCGAGCUGGGUUUAAAACGUCGUGAGACAGUUUGGUCCCUAUCUUCUGUGGGCGUAGGAGAAUUGAAAGGGCCUGUCCCUAGUACGAGAGGACCGGGAUGGACACACCACUGGUGGACCUGUUGUCGUGCCAACGGCACAGCAGGGUAGCUAUGUGUGGAAGGGAUAACCGCUGAAAGCAUCUAAGCGGGAAGCCUGCCUUAAGAUAAGUUCUCCCUGACGCAAGUCCUGAAGGGCCGAGGUAGACGACCUCGUUGAUAGGCUGGAGGUGGAAGCCCUGUGAGGGGUGGAGCUGACCAGUACUAAUAGCCCGUGCGUCUUGUUUCU